rnacentral:misc_RNA from 1 species
UCCGAGUUGACCCCGGCAGUCUCCCAUGAGUCCCCACCAUUACGUGCUGGCAACAUGGAACGAGGGUUGCGCUCGUUGCGGGACUUAACCCAACAUCUCACGACACGAGCUGACGACAGCCAUGCACCACCUGUGCACGGCCCUUACGGACCCGACAUCUCUGCCGGAUUUCCGUGCAUGUCAAGCCCAGGUAAGGUGGGGAUGACGUUGAACGGUUGGUU